UGCCCAGCAACUCCUAUCCCUACCUCCACGCGGUACCGGCCGGAAACUAUGAGCAGUACUCACCCAUCUACUGAAGGACCGCGGG
rnacentral:ribozyme from 1 species